rnacentral:rRNA from 1 species
GAUGAACGCUAGCGGCAGGCUUAAUACAUGCAAGUCGAGGGGUAGCAAGAUUGUAGCAAUACAAUUGUUGACGACCGGCAAACGGGUGCGGAACACGUACACAACCUUCCUACAAGUGGGGAAUAGCACAGAGAAAUUUGGAUUAAUACCCCGUAACAUAGCGAUGUGGCAUCACAUUGCUAUUAUAGCUUCGGCGCUUGUUGAUGGGUGUGCGGCUGAUUAGAUAGUUGGCGGGGUAACGGCCCACCAAGUCUACGAUCAGUAGCUGAUGUGAGAGCAUGAUCAGCCACACGGGCACUGAGACACGGGCCCGACUCCUACGGGAGGCAGCAGUAAGGAAUAUUGGACAAUGGACGCAAGUCUGAUCCAGCCAUGCCGCGUGAAGGAUUAAGGUCCUCUGGAUUGUAAACUUCUUUUAUAAGGGACGAAAAAAGGCUUUUCUAAGUCGUCUGACGGUACCUUAUGAAUAAGCACCGGCUAACUCCGUGCCAGCCGCCGCAGUAAUAC